UACGAAGGGGGCUAGCGUUUGCUCGGAAUCACUGGGCGUAAAGCGCACGUAGGCGGCUUUCUAAGUCAGGGGUGAAAUCCUGGAGCUCAACUCCAGAACUGCCUUUGAUACUGGAGAGCUAGAGUCCGGAAGAGGUGAGUGGAACUGCGAGUGUAGAGGUGAAAUUCGUAGAUAUUCGCAAGAACACCAGUGGCGAAGGCGGCUCACUGGUCCGGUACUGACGCUGAGGUGCGAAAGCGUGGGGAGCAAACAGG
rnacentral:rRNA from 1 species